rnacentral:rRNA from 1 species
AGCGAACGCUGGCGGCGUGCCUAACACAUGCAAGUCGAGCGCGGGCAUUUCGGGGGUAACCCCGGAUGUGCUGAGCGGCGGACGAGUGAGUAAUACGUGGACAACCUGCCUUAAAGCUUGGGAUAACUCCGGGAAACUGGAGCUAAUACCGGAUAAGACCACGGUGUCUAUGGAUGCUGAGGUAAAAGGCGGCCAGGAAACUGGCUGUUGCUUAAAGAUGGGUCCACGUCCCAUCAGGUAGUUGGUGAGGUAAAGGCUCACCAAGCCAAAGACGGGUAGCUGGCCGUUAGCGGGUGGUCAGCCACACGGGGACUGAGACACGGCCCCGACUCCGUACGGAGGCAGCAGUGGGGAAU